UUACACAUGCAGUCGAACGGUAAGGCCCUUCGGGGUACACGAGUGGCGAACGGGUGAGUAACACGUGGGUGAUCUGCCCUGCACUUCGGGAUAAGCCCGGGAAACUGGGUCUAAUACCGGAUAGUACUGCGCGGUGCAUGCCGUGUGGUGGAAAGAUUUAUCGGUGCAGGAUGGGCCCGCGGCCUAUCAGCUUGUUGGUGGGGUAAUGGCCUACCAAGGCGACGACGGGUAGCCGGCCUGAGAGGGCGACCGGCCACACUGGGACUGAGACACGGCCCAGACUCCUACGGGAGGCAGCAGUGGGGAAUAUUGCACAAUGGGCGCAAGCCUGAUGCAGCGACGCCGCGUGAGGGAUGACGGCCUUCGGGUUGUAAACCUCUUUCAGCAGGGACGAAGCGCAAGUGACGGUACCUGCAGAAGAAGCACCGGCCAACUACGUGCCAGCAGCCGCGGUAAUACGUAGGGUGCAAGCGUUGUCCGGAAUUACUGGGCGUAAAGAGCUCGUAGGCGGUUUGUCGCGUCGUCUGUGAAAACCAGCAGCUCAACUGUUGGCUUGCAGGCGAUACGGGCAGACUUGAGUAUUUCAGGGGAGACUGGAAUUCCUGGUGUAGCGGUGAAAUGCGCAGAUAUCAGGAGGAACACCGGUGGCGAAGGCGGGUCUCUGGGAAAUAACUGACGCUGAGGAGCGAAAGCGUGGGUAGCGAACAGGAUUAGAUACCCUGGUAGUCCACGCCGUAAACGGUGGGCGCUAGGUGUGGGUUUCCUUCCACGGGAUCCGUGCCGUAACUAACGCAUUAAGCGCCCCGCCUGGGGAGUACGGCCGCAAGGCUAAAACUCAGAGGAAUUGACGGGGGCCCGCACAAGCGGCGGAGCAUGUGGAUUAAUUCGAUGCAACGCGAAGAACCUUACCUGGGUUUGACAUACACCGGAAAGCCGUAGAGAUACGGCCCCCCUUGUGGUCGGUGUACAGGUGGUGCAUGGCUGUCGUCAGCUCGUGUCGUGAGAUGUUGGGUUAAGUCCCCCAACGAGCGCAACCCUUGUCCUGUGUUGCCAGCGGAUUAUGCCGGGAACUCUCAGGAAACUGCCGGGGUCAGCUCCGAAAAACUUGGGGACAACUUCAAGUCAUCAUGCCCCUUAUUUCCAGGGCUUCCACCUGGCUACAAUGGCCGUUACAGAGGGCUCCAAUACGUUGGGUGGAGCAAUCCCUUAGACCCGCUCCAUUUCGAAGCGGGGUUGCAAUUCGACCCGCUGAAAUCCGAAUCCGCCGAGUAGCAGAAGAAGAAACCUCCCUUGAAAAAAUGC
rnacentral:rRNA from 1 species